rnacentral:rRNA from 1 species
AAUGAACGCUGGCGGCAGGCCUAAUACAUGCAAGUCGAGCGGAGCGGCGGAAGGGUGAGUAAUUACUAGGAAUCUGCCUGGUAGUGGGGGCUAACUUAGGGAAAGUGGCGAUAAUACCGCAUAAUAGCAGAUGAGGCUAGGUUGGAUUAGCUAGUUGGUUGGGUAAGGGCCUACCAAGGCGACGAUCAGUCACUUGUCUGAGAGGAUGAUCAGUAAAACUGGAACUGAGACACGGCCCAGACUCCUACGGGAGGCAGCAGUGGUGAAUAUUGGACAAUGGGCGAAAGCCUUAGCCAGCCAUGCCGCGUGUGUGAAGAAGUUCUUCGGAUUGUAAAGCUCUUUAAGUUGGGAAGCGUUACCAACAGAGUAAGCACCGGCUAACUUCGUGCCAGCAGCCGCGGUAAUAC